UGGGGAAUAUUGGACAAUGGGCGAAAGCCUGAUCCAGCCAUGCCGCGUGUGUGAAGAAGAUCUUCGGUUUGUAAAGCACUUUAAGUUGGGAGGAAGGGCAGUAAGCGAAUACCUUGCUGUUUUGACGUUACCGACAGAAUAAGCACCGGCUAACUCUGUUCCAGCAGCCGCGGUAAUACAGAGGGUGCAAGCGUUAAUCGGAAUUACUGGGCGUAAAGCGCGCGUAGGUGGUUCGUUAAGUUGAAUGUGAAAGCCCCGUGCUCAACCUGGGAACUGCAUCCAAAACUGGUGAGCUGGAGUAGGGCAGAGGGUGGUGGAAUUUCCUGUGUAGCGGUUAAAUGCGUAGAUAUAGGAAGGAACAACAGUGGCGAAGGCGACCGCCUGGGCUCAUACUGACACUGAGGUGCGAAAGCGUGGGGAGCAAACAGG
rnacentral:rRNA from 1 species